rnacentral:tRNA from 1 species
GCUCCGGUGGUGUAGCCCGGCCAACAUUGGCCGAAAGCAUAACGGCCUCUCGAGCCGUAGACGCGGGUUCAAAUCCCGCCCGGAGCA